GUGUGCAUACAAACAGUCGGAGCCUCUUCAUGGGGUGACGGCGUACCUUUUGUAUAAUGGGUCAUCGACUUGGUCUAUCUAGCAAGCUUAAGCCGUUAGGUGUAGGCGCAGCGAAAGCGAGUCUUAAUAGGGCGAUUGAGUUAGAUGCAUUAGACCCGAAACCGAGUGAUCUAGGCAUGUCCAGGAUGAAGGUAAGGUAACACUUACUGGAGGUCCGAACCCACACCUGUUGAAAAAGGUCGGGAUGAGGUGUGCCUAGGGG
rnacentral:rRNA from 14 species